CCAAGCUGUAUGAGCUCAGCAUAAAUUUAUAGUGGAGAAAGUCAGAUGCACAGUGAGACUUUCUCCAACAGCGUUCAGAAGUUCUGGAGCAUUUUUGGAGGUAUCGAGUGAGCUUGGUGUGCCAGGGUUGUUGGGGGGGCCUGCGGCGUUUAAAUGUACAAGGUGCCAUGAUGUCUAGUUGAGAGGAGAGGGUGGAAAUGUAGAAGGAGG